GGAGGUCUCCCCACUCUCACCUUUGGGAGAUCUCCAGGAGCGGCCCCAUAGCUUCGGCAGCAUCGGUGUAUCUGGUACAGAGACACAAGAGAUCAUGCGGAUGCUGUAAAUCAGGAGCAACACUCACAAGACUCGGCAGGGAGGUUUGCAAUCUUUGGACUACUUCAUGGGUCAGGCGGAUUGCACAGAGGCAUCCAAAAAUCCCUCAACCAGGGCAAUGUCAAGCUGUCUUUCUGGAGGAUGAACUGUCGCAAGGCAACAGGGCCCAAUGGAGUACCUGACUCGUGAAGAUAUCCUCAAAGGCAUGGAAGUUGGGUCCGUGAUGGAGCUAGCAAAAGAAUAUACACCAUGCCUUGGGAAGUACCUUUGAAGUGCCUGUAAGAUUCAAGCAGUUAGAAGCCGAAACACCUACCAGCUUCGUGGGCAUCCUGGCUCUGAUGACGGCAGCGGUUCUGGUACUCAGGAUAAGGCAACUGGAGCGAAAGAAAAACCUGAUGUCAUCACAAAGACUGAUUGAUCUUCUAUCAUAAGCAGUCUCACAUACAUUCAACGAAUCGUGCUUCAUAUCCACUCUAAUUAAACAUUCUGUUGGAGGAUGCCGGCUGAAGAUUAAGUUCUAACUUCAUGGCUAUUCAUUGUGUUAUCCGGAAUACAGAUGUUUCCCACAGUAGCCAGGAGAUGGUCUGUUUGCAGCAACUGUAAUCCAUUCAAGACGGCUCCAACAUAGAUCCUUCCCUUGUCUCUCACGGAACAUGUGCCUGUUCUCUGUGUUGUUUCUUCUAAAUAAGUUAACACGAAAAUUCAGCAGGCAGCAAAUGGCAAUAUAAAGUCACACAGAAUUUACAACCCCAUCGCGGACACAGUUUCAUUGAAACAGACAGAUCUGAACAGCCGAGGGUGGGGGUUUGGAUACUUAUUCCAUUAUUGUCCAUUUCUCUUAAGUAUUGUUUCUGAUUUUUCUGUUAGACUUAGAUCGGUUUAUUGUAAUUUGCAACAUGGUGGAAUGAAAUUCCUUGUAUGUCUGAAGUACACAGAGUAACUGGCAUACAUGAUGCAUAAAUAUGACAGAUAUAUAGGAGAGUGCAAAACAAUAGACAUGUAGAAUACAGCAGUGCAAUAUGGAUUAGUGCAACAUUAAAUCGGAUGUAACCGUAAAGAUAUAACCAACAGAUUGGUGAAUUACACUCUGGUUCGGAGAAACAUCCCGCUUCUAUAUGUAUUAUUUAUGCAUUAUAUAUGUGCAUAUAGUUAAAUGACAAUAAUCUGGAUUUGAGAAUGGUGGAGCUAAUAGAUCGACACUGUGCCACUGCUACCUGAAAGACGGGACUACUUGAGAAGUCUGUGAGCAAAGGAGGAACAUCUUAUGAUUUUUCUGUUUCCUCGCUUGCUGUGUUCUGUAUUGUUCUGGCAAUCAUUGUGGGUAUUCUUUGUUGGUGCUGAAGUGUGUGGUGACAUUUACUAGCUGCCCCCUAGCAUAUUAUUGGGUGUGUUAGUUAUUAACUCAAACAAAGUAUUUCACUGUAUGUUUCAAUACAAGUAACAAAUAAAUCUGAAUCUUUAAUCUCUAACCUCACCCCUACAUUGUGGUCACUUGCAGAACAGGAUGGAAAAAAAUAGCAUAAGUAUUACAAUACCAAUGGUAUGUUUUAUCAAAUGAUUCCUCGGACACCACAAGGAGGGGCAAGUAAACUUGUGGAAAAUAACCAGUGUCGGGCUUUUGCUUCUAUGUUGAUAUGAAAUAAUGGACUGCAUUAUUUACAAAUAAAGCACUUUAAUAUCAUAAAGCAACACAUUAUGUUUAAGUCUAA